rnacentral:snRNA from 1 species
GAGUGCAAUGCAAACACCCUACCGCUAAAAUUGGAAGAAUACAGAGAAGAUUAGCAUGGCCCCUGCGCAAGGAUGAAUAGUAUAGGAAGUCUAAAACUUU